rnacentral:rRNA from 1 species
GAUGAACGCUGGCGGCGUGCCUAAUACAUGCAAGUCGAGCGAAUGGAUUAAGAGCUUGCUCUUAUGAAGUUAGCGGCGGACGGGUGAGUAACACGUGGGUAACCUGCCCAUAAGACUGGGAUAACUCCGGGAAACCGGGGCUAAUACCGGAUAACAUUUUGAACCGCAUGGUUCGAAAUCGAAAGGCGGCUUCGGCUGUCACUUAUGGAUGGACCUGCGUCGCAGUAGCUAGUUGGUGAGGUAACGGCUCACCAAGGCAACGAUGCGGAGCGGACCUGAGAGGGUGAUCGGCCACACUGGGACUGAGACACGGCCCAGACUCCUACGGGAGGCAGCAGUAGGGAAUCUUCCGCAAUGGACGAAAGUCUGACGGAGCAACGCCGCGUGAGUGAUGAAGGCUUUCGGGUCGUAAAACUCUGUUGUUAGGGAAGAACAAGUGCUAGUUGAAUAAGCUGGCACCUUGACGGUACCUAACCAGAAAGCCACGGCUAACUACGUGCCAGCCGCCGCAGUAA